rnacentral:lncRNA from 1 species
AGGAGUUGGAAGUUGGUCUGUAGAGGAGAUAGAUGUAAGCUCUCAAGUGCUGGUCCAGCAUCAUGCCUACCACCAUGCCACACCCUUUGGAACUGUGAGCCCCAAUAUUGCAAACACAAAAUCCCAUGGGAAUCCUGUGAGAGCAGCAGUCACCAGGAAGAGAGACCACGCCAAGGAGAGCAGUAUCAGUGACUGAAAACAGGCUUCCACUGUAGACAGUCGUCACUCCACUACCUGAAACACACCGCACUGGGAAGACAAGCCAACCGUUCCUGACUGCAGGCUACAGACCUUCCCAUCCUGUGUGCCCUUCCAAUCUUGUCCCCAGCAGGUCUCUGCAGCCUUACUCUGCUUAGCUGCCCUCCUCCUCCUCUUCCUCCUUCUCUUCUUCCUCUUCUUCCUCCUCUUCCUCAUCUUCCUCCUCUUCCCCCCUCCUCCUCUUCCUCCUCAACACAAAGGUCCGUUGUGUACCUCACACAUAUUCUGUACAUGUCAACCACGUGCUCCCUGGCUCUGUCGAAGUUAAAGAACAUUCACUCUCAAGGUAAAUGUCAUCUUCUCACAGACGUGUCUGUGGCCCUGAAACAUCAGCGGCUCCCCAAGCAGCACUUUCAGAUUUUAGUUUUAAGUAAAAUUUAAGUAAUAAAUGUGUGAUUGUU